rnacentral:lncRNA from 1 species
ACAAAUUUAACGGGGUUCGGUCAAGGUGACCUAUGUUCACAAGUAAGAGGAACAAUUUUACUAUAAUAAUCGGCACAUAAAAUAGAGUGCAAAAUUAGAGAAGAAACUCUAAUUAUCCUAAAAUAUAUCCCAAGAGAAUAACCUCGCUACAAUCACUCACUAGGAAGAGGUUCACUCAAAGUAUUUCCAAUACUAACUCUUUGGAAUAUAAUAAAACUCUCUAUUACAAGAAUUUU